GCGGGUGUGGCGGAAUUGGCAGACGCACUAGCCUUAGGAGCUAGCGGAACUCCGUGCAGGUUCAAGUCCUGUCACCCGCACCA
rnacentral:tRNA from 2 species